rnacentral:lncRNA from 1 species
CAUUUUCUUAAUACGAAACCUACCUAGAUUUGAAAGGGUUAAUAACAUUACAUCAAUCGUCUUUUAAUCGCUUGAGAACCUUGCAAGCCCACUGUCGUACCCGGCGUUUGAGGGAGUAGUUGACGAUUAUUUCAGCAAUGAAGCAAAUUCGGUAUAGUUCUGAACACCUCUACAACGAGACAACUUGUUUGGGUCCUGUUAACAAACACGAAUGAUAUUGACGGGAGAAUCGUCGGGACUGCUCCACAGCCGUUGCCGCCGCGAGGACUGUAGAGGAUUUUCGACAAGAAAAAAGGGGAUCCUCAUUUUGC